UCUCUAGUGUUUCUCUCUAUUCUCUCCACACAUAAUAGCAUAAGCUCAGCUUGCUAUUUAUACACGAAUUCAAAACAAGAUAAUUCAACCUUCAAGUGUGAAGGCGGCUGGCGGCCAAUGGUGUGAAGGCGGCUGGCGGCUGCGGCUGGUGGCUGGCGGCUGGUCGGUCACAGCUGGUGGCUGGCUGGCCGGUGGUUGCCUUCCUUGACCUUCUAGAUUGAUUGAGUUUAAUACAACAAAUCUCCCCUUUAAACUCAAUCGAGGGAUGUCAUGCCAAGCAUGAACACUUCUCAUUUCAAUGCCUUCUCUCUGCUUGUAGCCUUUAUCCACUAAUUUGGCUUUCGUCUUGUAGACCCUUUUGACACCUAUUGCUUUCUUGCUUUCUGGUGGAUAAGUCAGCUUCCAGGUAUCAUUCUUCUCAAUGGCAUGCAUUUCUUCAUCCAUUGUUUCUAUCUUCUCUUCUGUGAUAGCUUUGUUGAAGCUAAGUGGAUCAUUAUCUGCAAAGAAACAAAACAAAUCUGUAUCUUCCAUUACUUGAGUGGCAUCGUACAGCUCUUCAAGAUUUCUCAUCCUUCUUGGUUCUUCUGAUGAGGAUGCUGAUGGUGGUGUUGAUGAUGAUGCUCCUGGUGUGUUCCUCCUGUUGAAUACAGGGAAUCUGUGUACCGGACUUUGUGGUUCAGCUGCUGGUACAAUCGGUUCUUCGAUAAGUACUGUUGGUACUUCUUCACCUUCAAGGAUCAAAUCAAUGUUGAUCCAUCUGACUGCUUCUUUAUUAUCAGUCCAUUCCCAAGAUUUAUCUUCUUCAAAGAUAACAUCUCUACUCAUAAUCACCUUCUUCGUGAUGGGAUUAUACAGCUUGUAUCCCAUCCUUCUUUCACCAUAUCCCACAAAGAUGCAUCUCUCGCUUUUAUCAUCGAGUUUUCUCCUUCUUGCAUCUGGGAUCUUUGCAUAUGCCACACAACCAAAGACUCGUAGAUGAGUAACACUUGGUUUGUGACCACUCCAUGCUUCUUCUGGAAUGACUCCUUGCAAACUUCUGGUUGGGCAGCGAUUCAGUAGAUACACUGCACAUGAUACAGCUUCAGCCCAGUAUUGCUUGGGCAACUUCUUUGCUUUGAGCAGACUUCUUGCCAUGUCAAGAAUCGUGCGAUUCUUUCUUUCAGCUACACCAUUCAGCUGUGGUGUAUAAGCUGGUGUUGUCUGAUGUCUGAUGCCUUGUUGUGUACAAUAGGCUUCAAAGUCAUUUGCUGUAUAUUCUCCACCUUGAUCAGAUCUCACUGUUCUGAUCAUGUAGCCACUUUGCUUCUCCACAAUUGCUUUAAAAUCUUUAAAACAAUUGAAUACUUCUGACUUCCUCUUCAGAAAGUAUAUCCACGUCUUUCUACUAAAAUCAUCAAUAAAAGUGAGGAAGUACCUAUUCUGUCCAGUCGACAUAGGCGUUAUUGGGCCACACACAUCUGUGUGUACUAACUCCAAUGGCCUCUUUGCUUUCCAGUUGACUUCUUUGGCAAAACUGGAUCUGUGAUGUUUGCUGAGGACACAACUCUCACAGACUUCAUCUGGAUGAUCAAUGUGAGGCAAACCUUUGACCAUCUGCUUGCUUGCUAGCAUCUUCAAGCUCGUGAAAUUCAGAUGUCCAAGCCUCAGGUGCCAAAGCCAUUCUUCACUGUUGGUGAUGGCACUCAAACACCUUGCUGCAUCAUACUGGAUGUUCAAAGGAAACAUCCUAUUCUUGGACAUUUUCACAUAGGCCAUUAAUCUCCAAUUGUUGUCUCUAAUUGUCAGAUGACAAUUCUUCGAGUAAAAAGUAUAUCCUCUCUCCAAAAGUUGACCUAAGCUGAUCAGGUUCUGCUUUAUGGCUGGGACAUAAUAGACAUUGGCGAUGUAGCUGGAAUCGCCAUUCUUCAACUUGAUUGGGAUGCUGCCUUUACCUUUGAACGGAACCUUUGAGGUAUCUCCAAAAGUAACUAGACCUUGCUUGGUCUCAUCUAGAUCACUAAAUAACUCUCGGUAGCCACACAUGUGAUUGCUGGCUCCAGUAUCUAGAUACCAUAUAUUUUCCUGUUUCUCGCCAAGUUCUUGUUGGACAAGAAAUGCAGCUUCUUCUAUGUCAUCCUUCUCUACAUAGUUAGCUUGCUCACGUAUCUCCAACGGAGCUUUCCUUCUGCAUUCAGUGCUAUAGUGCCCAAAUUGAUUGCAACUAUAACAUUGGAUAUUCCUCUUGUCACGGUUAUUGUAACCGCCUCCUCUUCCUCUAGGAGUGAAUGCUUGUUGACCUCGACCUCCUCUGGUGGUGUUUCUACCACCUCUUCCCCUGAAACUUGUAUUCCAAGAACCUCUUCCUUGGAAUCUCUGGAAUCCUCCUCUGGAUUGUUGACUUCCUGUUUGAGUGGUAUAUCACUUGUUGAAGUCUCCCCUUGCUCAUAUCUGUCCUUGAGAGACAGCUUUGCUUGUAAGGCAUGCUCGAUGGCCUUAUCUCCAUUUCGCUUUACAAUCUUCUGCUCAUGAGCUUGCAAAGAACUCAUAAGCUCAUCAAAUGUCAACUUGUCCACUUCCUUGGACUCUUCAAUAGCGACAACAACAAAAUCAAAUUUUGGAUCUAGGGAUCUCAAAAUUUUCUCAGUAAUUCGAGAAUCGAUGAUGGCUUCUCCAUUUCUCCUCAUCUGAUUGACUAUCACCAUAAUUCUUGUGUGAUAAUCAGAAAUAGACUCCGAGGACUUCAUUUGCAAUAACUCAAAUUCACCUCGCAAAGAUUGAAGACGAAUCUUCUUGAUUCUGUCAGCACCUUUGUAUUUUUGUUGGAGAGCCUCCCAUAUAUCAUGUGAUGUUUCAGCGGAAGCUAUGAUCUCGAAUGUAUCUUCAUCAAGACCUUGGUAGAUGAUGGUCUUUGCUUUGUUGUCUUUCUUUCUGUUGACUUUCAAGGCUUGCUUCUGUGCCUCUUGUAAAGCAUCUUCUUCUUCUUUGGACUCUGGUUCAUCAUAACCAUAGUGUACAAUCUCCAAACACUCUUGUGAACCAAGAAAUGCCUUUAAUCUGAUGCACCAACUAUCAUAGUUGUCUUUGGUCAGCUUCGGGAUGAGUGUUUGUGUACUUUCUGUAGUCAUUUUGCUCUUUUAAUGACUAUAUCUCCUUCUGGGAGUUGAAUUUGGCAAAACCGACACUGUAGAUCGAUCCGGAAUGGUCGAAAUAGUCGGGAACCGGUCUGACUGUGUAGAAAUCAGGUCCGAAAAUGGGUGAACCGGUCACAACACCAAAUCUGGGCGUCGGGCGGUUCGCUGGGUUGAACCGGGAAUAUUCUGCGGAAUAUUCUAUCGGCUCGGCUUAGGCUAAUAGCGGCUCGGCUUAGCGGCUCGGCUUGAAAAGGGAAUAUUCUUGGGAAUAUGCUUCGGCGCGGCUGGAGACUUGGCUUGCGGCUCGGCUCGGCGCGGCUUAAACGGCUCCAAUAUGGCGCGCGUGGACGUCACUCGUCUUCUUCCUCUGGCGCGCGUGGGCUACAGUCACCGGAUUUUCAGGAGGCGCGUGUGGCUCACCCCGGUGUCCGAUUGAGGUGAUUUUUGCGGCAGUGAGUUCGUAUGGAUGAUCUCUACACGGUGGAAUGAUCAAAACUUGUUUAUGACAACUUUGAAAAUUCGGAUAUCUCCCAAAAACACUUCUGUUUUCUGACGAACGGGGCUCUGAUACCAAUUGUUGGUGGGAGAAACCACUGGUGGUGGCUUUGAAACACUCGGAGGGGAUAAAACACACUGUUUUAUUACAAGAACAAGAAGCUUACAAACACACAGAAGCUUAAUACAAUACACGCCCUCUCUCUUUCUCUCUAGUGUUUCUCUCUACUCUCUCCACACAGAAUAACAUAAGCUUAGCUUGUUAUUUAUACACGAAUUCAAAACAAGAUAAUUCAACCUUCAAGUGUGAAGGCGGCUGUGGACGGUGGUGUGAAGGCGGCAUGCAGCUGGUGGCUGGCGGCUGGUCGGUGGCAGCUGGUGGUUGCCUUCCUUGACCAUCUAGAUUGAGUUUAAUAUUCAACA
rnacentral:lncRNA from 1 species